UACGGAGGGUGCAAGCGUUAUCCGGAUUUACUGGGUUUAAAGGGUGCGUAGGUGGGUAGGUAAGUCAGUGGUGAAAUCUUCGAGCUUAACUCGGAAACUGCCAUUGAUACUAUUUAUCUUGAAUACUUUGGAGGUAAGCGGAAUAUGUCAUGUAGCGGUGAAAUGCUUAGAUAUGACAUAGAACACCAAUUGCGAAGGCAGCUUACUACACAGUUAUUGACACUGAGGCACGAAAGCGCGGGGAGCAAACAGG
rnacentral:rRNA from 1 species